AGAGUUUGAUUCUGGCUCAGGAUGAACGCUGGCGGCGUGCCUAAUACAUGCAAGUGAAACGGGUAUCUUCGGAUACCAGUCGCGGACGGGUGAGUAAUACAUAGGCAACCUGCCUUUAUGAGGGGGAUAACCGAGGGAAACUUUGGCUAAUACCGCAUGAAGACUCUAAGGCAUCUUAGAGGGAUAAAAGUUGGGAAACAACGCAUGAAGAUGGGCUUAUGGCGCAUUAGCUAGUUGGUGAGAUAGAAGCCCACCAAGGUAAUGAUGCGUAGCCGACCUGAGAGGGUGAACGGCCACAUUGGGACUGAGACACGGCCCAAACUCCUACGGGAGGCAGCAGUAGGGAAUUUUCGGCAAUGGGGGGAACCCUGACCGAGCAACGCCGCGUGAAGGAAAAGAAGGUUUUCGGAUUGUAAACUUCUGUUAUAAGGGAAGAACGGAUUGGAUAGGGAAUGAUCUGAUAGUGACGGUACCUUAUUAGAAAGCCACGGCUAACUACGUGCCAGCAGCAGC
rnacentral:rRNA from 1 species